rnacentral:misc_RNA from 1 species
UUUCCGUAGGUGAACCUGCGGAAGGAUCAUUAGUGAACGCCCUCACGGGCUUAUAACUAUUCCAAACCUCUGUGAACCGUGCCAUUCGGGGUUAUUUUACAAACAUUGUGUAAUGACCGUCAUAUAUCAUAACAAAACAAAACUUUCAACAACGGAUCUCUUGGCUCUC